UAAAUGGAUAUGCACACAAAUACACACCCCAGAUAACAUGAACACGUUGGUCCGACGUCGGGCCAACGUGUUUUAUAUCAGCUAGAAAAAUUACGUCGGCAUAACGUAGGAAAUGCAAUGUUUAAAAUUAUCGUUGUGGUUUUCUGCACUUAGCUUACUCAAUAACUGAGUAAACAAAGCGCAGAAAACCACAAUCCGCAUUUUAAAACAUAGUUAAAAUUAGUAAAUUAUCUAGCCAAAUAUAACAAGCCGGCCCGACGUCGGGCCAACGUGUGCUAGUUUUCUCGUGUUAAUUUUUAAACUACUAAUUGUUCCGUUGGUCAAAUUAAUUAGCUUAAAUUAUCCAAUUAUUUUUAGUUUAAUUUUUUUUUUAUUAUUCUUUUUAUUUUUUUGUUGCAAAAACUUACUUCUAUACUUUAUAAAUAAUGUACACAAUUAAAAUAUUUAAACAUAGUAUUUAUGGCUAGAGUAAAUAGUUGGUAAAAAAAUGCUACUUAUGGUCUGCAUUUUUAGUCAAAACUGUAAAAGAAAAAUUCUUGGCAAACUUUUGAUCAAAAUGCCUAAUUUAUUACAACUUUUUUUAUUACGUUUUUAUUAUGUUUACAUAUACUUUUUUGUAGUCGUUUUUUUUUUUUUUUUACGUUUUUUUACUUUUAUUUUUUUAACUUUUAUUUUACGCAUUAAAGGUAUAAUAAAUGGAAGUGGUUUAAUAUCAUUGAAACAGUUUGUAUCACGCGAAGAAGUGGUUUUACGAGAAACGAAACAGUUUGUAUCAUGCGGAGGAGUGGACGAAAGAUUGAUUUUAGUUAAAAUAGUCAUCACAAACAAAUCGAUAGUUAUCUUGGUGUCAUUGGUGGUGCCAACAUUAAAGAUAUGACAAGAUGCAGUUCGACUCAAUCCAUUGACAAAAUAAAGCUACAGCUGGUGAAGUAGAAGACGUAGUGAAGGAAUGGCUUCAAAACGUAAAAGGUCUGAGCCAAAGCCGCGCAAAGCGGAGAAGAUUAGAGUUGAACAACGAACUUGCAAAUAAUGUUGAUGACGAAUAAAAACAAUUCGCCACAAUUGCAAUAUUGCAAAAUAAUAUUAUCUUGGCUAUAUGAAUAUUUUUUUAA